CCUACGGGAGGCAGCAGUGGGGAAUAUUGCACAAUGGGCGAAAGCCUGAUGCAGCGACGCCGCGUGAGGGAUGACGGCCUUCGGGUUGUAAACCUCUUUCAGCAGGGAAGAAGCGAAAGUGACGGUACCUGCAGAAGAAGCGCCGGCUAACUACGUGCCAGCAGCCGCGGUAAUACGUAGGGCGCAAGCGUUGUCCGGAAUUAUUGGGCGUAAAGAGCUCGUAGGCGGCUUGUCACGUCGGAUGUGAAAGCCCGGGGCUUAACCCCGGGUCUGCAUUCGAUACGGGCUAGCUAGAGUGUGGUAGGGGAGAUCGGAAUUCCUGGUGUAGCGGUGAAAUGCGCAGAUAUCAGGAGGAACACCGGUGGCGAAGGCGGAUCUCUGGGCCAUUACUGACGCUGAGGAGCGAAAGCGUGGGGAGCGAACAGGAUUAGAUACCCUGGUAGUCCACGCCGUAAACGUUGGGAACUAGGUGUUGGCGACAUUCCACGUCGUCGGUGCCGCAGCUAACGCAUUAAGUUCCCCGCCUGGGGAGUACGGCCGCAAGGCUAAAACUUAAAUGAAUUGACGG
rnacentral:rRNA from 1 species